rnacentral:rRNA from 1 species
UACAGAGGUCUCAAGCGUUGUUCGGAUUCAUUGGGCGUAAAGGGUGCGUAGGCGGUGGAGCAAGUCAGGUGUGAAAUCCCGGAGCUCAACUCCGGAACUGCACUUGAUACUGCUUCGCUAGAGUACUGGAGAGGAGACUGGAAUUUACGGUGUAGCAGUGAAAUGCGUAGAGAUCGUAAGGAAGACCAGUGGCGAAGGCGAGUCUCUGGACAGUUACUGACGCUGAGGCACGAAGGCCAGGGGAGCAAACGGG